AGUGAACGCUGGCGGUAGGCCUAACACAUGCAAGUCGAACGGCAGCACAGUAAGACCUUGCUCUUACGGGUGGCGAGUGGCGGACGAGUGUUGUAUACAUCGGAAUCUACUUUUUCGUGGGUGAUAACGUAGGGAAACUUACGCUAAUACCGCAUACGACCUACGGGUGAAAGCAGGGGGUCUUCGGACCUUGCGCGGUUGAAUGAGCCGAUGGUGGAUUAGCCAGUGGGCGGGGGAGAGGCUCACCAGGGAGACGAUCCGUAACUGGUAUGAGAGGAUGGUCAGACACACUGGCAGUGAGACACGGUCCAGACUCCUGCGGGAGGCAGCAGUGGGGAAUAUUGGGGGAAGGGGGAAAGCCUGAUCCAGCAAUACCGGGUGAGGGAAGAAGGAGUUCGGGUUGUAGAGCCAUUUUGUUGGGAAAGAAGAGCAGCAGGUUAACACGACGAGGUUAUGACGGUACCCAAAGAAUAAGCACCGGCUAACUUCGUG
rnacentral:rRNA from 1 species